UACGUAGGGGGCUAGCGUUGUUCGGAAUCACUGGGCGUAAAGGGCGCGUAGGCGGCUUUUCAAGUCGGGGGUGAAAGCCUGUGGCUCAACCACAGAAUUGCCUUCGAUACUGUUAGGCUUGAGACCGGAAGAGGUGAGUGGAACUGCGAGUGUAGAGGUGAAAUUCGUAGAUAUUCGCAAGAACACCAGUGGCGAAGGCGGCUUACUGGUCCGGUUCUGACGCUGAGGCGCGAAAGCGUGGGGAGCAAACAGG
rnacentral:rRNA from 1 species